rnacentral:snRNA from 1 species
GGGGUGGGGGGAAUCUGGCCUCCCUAUAUGGAUCACCAGAAUUGGUUUGGCUGAUUUGGCUGGUUAUGGGGAUGUCCCCUUUUUUCUCUCAUCACUCCAUAUGUCUGUCUCCAGAAGCUGCAUUCUCAAUGGAAAAGGAUGGCUAUAAGGCUGCUGUAUCUGAGCUACAGAAAUUUGUACAGCUGAUGGAUGGUGGCAAAGUUAUUUUUAUGUAACUUUUUCUUGCCAUCAAAUGGAUAUAUGGAGCCAAUGAGAUAGCUCCAGUUUACUGAAACAAAAUAAAUAGAAGCAACAUUAAGAGCAAUGUACAUUGCAGGAUCU